rnacentral:rRNA from 1 species
UACGUAGGGGGCUAGCGUUGUCCGGAUUUAUUGGGCGUAAAGAGCGUGUAGGCGGCCAGGUAGGUCUGCUGUGAAAACUCGAGGCUUAACCUCGAGAUGUCGGCGGAAACCAUCUGGCUAGAGUCCGGAAGAGGAGAGUGGAAUUCCUGGUGUAACGGUGAAAUGCGCAGAUAUCAGGAAGAACACCCGUGGCGAAGGCGGCUCUCUGGGACGGUACUGACGCUGAGACGCGAAAGCGUGGGGAGCGAACAGG